rnacentral:tRNA from 2 species
GCACUCAUGGCCGAGUGGUUAAAGCGAUGGACUAGAAAUCCAUUGGGGUCUCCCCGCACAGGUUCGAAUCCUGUCGACUGCG